UACUACAGCCAUGCCACCCUGAACACACCGAAUCCCACCUGAUCUCAGAAGCUAAGCAGAGUCAGGCCUGGCUAGUACUUGGAUGGGAGACCACCUAGGAAGACCAGGUGCUGUGGGUG
rnacentral:rRNA from 1 species